UAUUGUCAUAAAACUAGCAUGAAACAUCAGAAAUUAUAGAUACGUUGGAGACGUAUCAGCCCCUUCCAUAGCCGCUUGACAAGCAAGCGUUGAUGAUCCUAGGGGCGGCAAGAGACAUGGCCGCUUGAGGAUUCUUGAUGCAGUAGUUGAGUCUUCUGCCACACUCACACGGGUCCGUGCUACCAACCUGAGCGACAUUGUGUCUAUGCAACCUCGUCCACCGCGUGGUGGAACCUACCCGACUUGCGGCUAUGAUUGUUGGGAGGAAGCCUACGAGCAGCUUCAUGAGGUGUAUCUCCAGAAGAUGGAGGAAUACAAAUCGGUAGUUAAGCUCGCUAACUCGCACCAUAAUGCAACCAAUAAGACGUCUUUUAUAACUCUAGGAACUGGUGCUCUGCCACCCGAGUAUGUCGAUCCUCUAGAAAAACCACCGAUGCCAAAGAUGCCAUCGAAGCAAUAAUUCAUCGCACACCUCGCCACAGGACUUAGGGAUUGGCUUGUUCCAACACUUUUGUUUGUCGUGCUUCUGCCUCGCCCCAAAAGUCGCCCACAGUUACUCCACUUCAACUCGGUGGUCCUAGCCCUGGUGUAUCUGCCUCGCCCCCUCGGUCGCACCAUGAAGAUAGUCAUGAGUCGCCCUAACACUCGCAAGUGCUGUGAUGAUGCUCUCGAUGGCGAAGGGCUUAUUGUGUCGUUGCUCGAACCGUUUGUACUAUGUGUAUCAAACAUGUCAUCUUAUAUCGAACACGUUACUUUCUGCCGUGUGAACUUGUUCUAUGUGUUGUAUCACAGUUUGGACUAUGCGUUGUAUUGAAUCUUGUUUGUCGAUGCUAUAUAUAGAGAUUUAAUGAUAUUUCAUGUUUACA